rnacentral:lncRNA from 1 species
UCUACUCCAUAACUUGCCAAAAUCUCACUUUAUAGACCUAACUUGGAUUCUACUAGUUUUAGCUUGUUUUUAAACAAGUUAGGGACUCUAACAAGUCCCAAAAGACUCAACAACAUCAACCGAAAUGUCCAAUUACUCACAAAACCCCCAAUUCAAGUUUUCACUAGUCCAACCCCAAGAAUUUAGUUUUAAACCAACAUGGUCUCUAUCUAAUUACCACCACAUACUCAUAACUCAGAUUCUUUCCAUUUUAAAUGUUUGAGCAAGUCAUAAAACACUUCCUAAACUCUCCCAACUGCAUCAAACCAAUUCACCACCCCUUCCUCACAAUUUCACUACCUAGGAUCUCAUCUUUUCUUCAAAAACACCAUUAAAACUUCUAUUGUUUCAACUCUUUAAUCUCUAAACUCCAUAAUACACAUUCCAAAUAGAGAAUUUAACAUAUCAAC